rnacentral:rRNA from 1 species
GACGAACGCUGGCGGCGUGCUUAACACAUGCAAGUCGAGCGGUAAGGCCCUUUCGGGGGUACGACGAGCGGCGAACGGGUGAGUAACACGUGGGUGACCUGCCCUCAGCUCUGGGAUAAGCCUGGGAAACCGGGUACUAAUACUGGAUAUGACUCCAUGACGCAUGUUGGUGGGGUGGAAAGCCUUGUGCGGCUGAGGAUGGGCCCGCGGCCUAUCAGCUUGUUGGUGGGGUGAGGCCUACCAAGGCGACGACGGGUAGCCGGCCUGAGAGGGCGACCGGCCACACUGGGACUGAGACA